rnacentral:rRNA from 1 species
AGAGUUUGAUCCUGGCUCAGGACGAACGCUGGCGGUGUGCUUCACACAUGCAAGUCGAACGAGGUAGCAAUACCUAGUGGCGGACGGGUGAGUAACGCGUGGGAAUCUGCCCAAGGGUGGGGGAUAACUAGCCGAAAGGUUAGCUAAUACCGCAUAUGCCGUGAGGUAAAAGGAGUAAUCCGCCCCUGGAUGAGCCUGCGUCCGAUUAGCUAGUUGGUGGGGUAAAGGCCUACCAAGGCUACGAUCGGUAGCUGGUCUGAGAGGAUGAUCAGCCACAAUGGGACUGAGACACGGCCCAUACUCCUACGGGAGGCAGCAGUGGGGAAUUUUACGCAAUGGGGGAAACCCUGACGUAGCGACACCGCGUGAGCGAAGAAGCCUUUUGGGGUGUAAAGCUCUGUCAGCAGGAACGAAUAAAUGACGGUACCUGCAGAGGAAGCAUCGGCUAACUACGUGCCAGCAGCCGCGGUAAGACGUAGGAUGCGAGCGUUGUCCGGAUUCAUUGGGCGUAAAGAGUUCGUAGGCGGUUUGUUAAGUCUGAUGUUAAAGAUCAGGGCCCAACCCUGGGAGUGCAUUGGAUACUGGCAGACUUGAGUACAGUAGAGGCGAGUGGAAUUCCCAGUGUAGCGGUGAAAUGCGUAGA